AUGGCGAAUCUGCGGCUCCAUGGCACCAUCAAUGCUACCAUCGUGGGGGCCGACAACAUCCACGAUCGCUCCCGCCACACCGGCAUCGUCCCCAGUUUCCUCGGCAAUAUUGUGCAAGGUGUCCAGGAGACGACGGGUUUGGGCAAGGGCCUGCCGCGGGUGUACGCGGCCAUCUACCUCGGCAGUGCAUGCGUCGCCCGGACGCGUACCAUAGCCGUCCCUUCAACGGGAAUCGCGCGAUGGAACGAGCCGCUCCGCGCCUACUGCGCCCACCACGCCGCCGACGUCGUCAUCUCGGUCAUGAUCGAGCAGCUCGGCCUCGCCGAUGACACAGUCCUCGGCAGCGCCUACCUGCCCGCUCUGGAGCUCCUCAACAGCGACGACACGAUCGACCGCUGGUUCGACGUCCUUGGCGCCAACAGGAAGAAGCUCUGGGAUGGGCCCAAGAUACAGGUGCAGAUCAACUUCCGCGAUGUCGCUGACCAAGGCCUGGCGUGGGGCGGCGGUGUCGGCGUUGGCGGCGCCAAGGUGCCCCAUACCUUCUUUUCGCAGAGGACGGGGUGCAAGGUCACCCUGUACCAGGACGCGCACGCGUCUGAGGAGUUCGACCCCAAGAUCCAGCUCGACGGCGGCGGGCUCUACAAGCCUGGGCACUGCUGGGAAGACCUGUACGACGCCAUCAGCAAUGCACGGCAUCUGGUGUACAUCACCGGCUGGUCGGUGUUCCCCCACAUCACGCUGGUGCGGGACGGGGAGCAGCAGGAAACCCUCGGCGAGCUCCUGAAGCGCAAGGCCAGCGAGGGCGUGCACGUGCUCCUGCUGGUGUGGAACGACGUCUCCUCCAUCGAAGGCGUGUAUGAAGCCGGCCUCUUGGACACGAGGGAUGAGCUGACGGAAAAGUACUUCCGCGGCAGCCGCGUGCAGUGCGUCCUCUGCCCGAGGAACAUGUACCUCAGAGGCUACAUCUUCGACGCCAAGAGACCUACCGACUCCAUCUUUUACAGCCACCACCAGAAGGCAAUCGUCGUCGACCAGGAGCUGCCUUCGUCGUCGUUGUCGGACGGGCGCCGCCAGAUCGUCAGCUUCCUCGGCGGCCUCGACGUGAGCUAUGGACGCUACGACACGCAGUCCCACUCCCUGUUCAGGACGCUGGGCACGGGGCAGGCGCACAGCAAGGACUUCAACCAAACCAACUUCAGGGACGAGGGUGCGACGCUCGAGAAGGGCGGGCCCAGGGAGCCAUGGCACGACAUCCACGCCAAGGUCGAGGGCCCUGUGGCAUGGGACGUGCUCCACAACUUCGAGCAACGAUGGAGGAUACAAGGCGGUGACAAGGAGCACCUGGUCGACCUUGUAGCCAUCGAGGGCAAGGUCGCACCGUCCUCAUUGCCAGUGACACUCCCCGGCGACCAGGAGGCGUGGAGUGUGCAGCUGUUCCGGUCCAUCGACAACAUGGCCACCGUGGGCUUCCCCGACUCCAUGGAGGCUACCUACGAGGCCGGCCUCGUCCAGGACAAGCACCAUGUGUUCGAGAGGAGCAUCCAGGACGCCUACAUCCAUGCCAUACGUGCCGCAAAGAGCUUCAUCUACAUCGAGAACCAGUACUUCAUCGGCAGUUCCUUCCAGUGGAAGUCCGGCGUCGGCAUAGAUCCGGCGGCAGUCCAGGCGAAUCACACGAUCCCCAGAGAGCUGUCUCUCAAGAUCGUGAGGAAGAUCGAGGCCGGUGAGCGCUUCGCGGUCUACGUCGUGGUCCCCAUGUGGUCGGAAGGCUACCCUACGCAUAUGUACAGGCAGGCGAUGCUGGACAACCAGAGGAGGACCAUGUCCAUGAUGUACAACGACAUCGCCGCUGCGCUGCAGGCCAAGAACAUAGACGCCGAUCCCAGGGACUACCUUACCUUCUUCUGCUUAGGGAACCGCGAGGCGAGGAACCCAGAGGGCGGCGAGUACCAGCCUGCGAAAAGCCCAGAGGACGGGACGGACUAUGCCAAGGCGCAGAAUGCACGCCGGUUCAUGAUCUACGUUCACUCCAAGAUGAUGAUAGUUGAUGACGAGUACAUCAUUGUCGGAUCUGCCAACCUCAAUGAGCGGUCCAUGGCGGGGAACAGGGACACCGAGAUCGCCAUUGGCACGUACCAGCCGCACCGCAUCAACACCGGUACUGAGCUCGCCAAAGGGCACGUCCAUGGCUUCCGGAUGUCGCUCUGGUAUGAGCACCUCGGCAAGACGCACGACGACUUCCUCCGCCCGGGGAGCGUAGAAUGCGUGCGGAGGGUCAACAAGAUGGCCGAUGAGUACUGGAACCUCUACGUCGGCGACGAGCUUACGAGCGACCUCCCAGGCCACCUUCUCACCUACCCCGUCGCCGUAAGCAAGGCCGGCACGACCUGGAUGAUACCGGGAUUCGAAUUCUUCCCUGACACUCAGGCUCGCGUCCUUGGUAAGCCAACUGGACAUGACGAUUAUUUCAUGAGCACAUAG
rnacentral:rRNA from 1 species